rnacentral:hammerhead_ribozyme from 1 species
ACCAACUGACGAGUCCCAGAUAGGAUGAAACGCUCGUCCUGGAU